rnacentral:lncRNA from 1 species
ACUUACCUGACCAACAUGGUGAAUCAUAUUUUGAUUAGAUCACUUAAUGAUUGGAGUUGACCCAUGCUAAUUAAGAAAUCAGUAUGACUGAUUUAGGUGCCUCUAGUUCAACUUGUCUUGAGUCCUCUUUAUGACUUGGUAAAGUCAAUAGGAGGAUUCAUGACUGAUUAGCCGAACUAGCUUAUGCCUGAUAUUCUUUAAUCUGACU